rnacentral:lncRNA from 1 species
GUCAAUUUCUGCUGCACAGCAAAGUGACCCAGUUAUACAUAUGUAUGUAUGUGUGUAUGUAUAUAUAUAGACACACAUUCUUUUUCUCAUAUCAUCUUCCAUUAUGUUCUAUCACAAGAGACUGGAUAUAGUUUCCUGUACUAUAUAGCAGGACCUCAUUGCUUAUUGCUUAUUAUUUUAUUUUUAUUUUUUGUCUUUUUAGGGCUGCACCUGUGGCCUAUGGAGGUUCCCAGGAUAGGGGCCAAAUCGGAGCUAUAGCUGCCUGGCCUACACAACAGCUACGGCAAUGCCAGAUUCUUAACCCGCUGAUCCAGGCAAGGGAUUGAACCUGAGUCCUCAUGGAUACUAGCAAGGUUCAUUAUCACUGAGCGAGAACUUUGCUUUUCCCUUUUAAAUGUAAUAGUUCGCAUCUACUACCCCCAAACGUCCAGGCUAUCCCACUGUCUCUCCCAAUCCCUUUGGCAACCUCAAGUCUUUUCUCCAUGUUGGUGACUCUGUUUCUGUUCUGUUGAUAGGCACACUUGUGCCACAUUUUAGAUUCUACAUAUAGGUGAUAUCAUACAGUGUUUGUCUUUCUGUGACUCUAGGGUUUGAGGAGAGGUCUGGGGUAGAUCAACAUUUAAGAAUCUCUGACCUGUGCACCGUAUUUAAAGCCCUGGGUAAGAUCACUAUGGAAGUGAGUCUAGAUGGAUGAGAGAAGCAGCCAGAGGCCUCAGCUGUCCUGCCUCUCAAAGUGGUGCAAGAGGAACCCAUUGCACCUGAAGAAAUCAAAGCUGAGGGAGUCAAGCAAUUGGCUUCACAGUGAGCAGCAGAGAUGGGAAUCUAAGCUCAUUGGUCUGGCUCUGAAGUCUGCGUGAUUAACCCCUUAGCAAUAGUCCAAAGGCUGGAGCAAAGAAGUCUUUUCCUGGAGACAUGAAUCAUGGCUGGUUGGCCAGGGCCACACCUCUAACUAUGCUGGGAUAGCAAGCUGUGCCCUCAGGUUUGAGCAAAUAAGACACCUCACUUUUGCUGGUAGAACCAGACGACACAUCCAUCAGCUCCACCUGGUGUAGUACUCAAGGCCCUCGAGGGAGCCAGAAAGAUCUGGUAAUUAAGAAAGAUUCCUUUCCUGAGCUGCAGUGGGUCACAGUGACUGUCAGGGUUAAAAGAUUGAUGGCUUAAUAAAGACCACCUGAAAAGGCAAUUGACCAGCAAGGGAAAAAAAGCAUUGCCACACACCCACUACCGCAGAGUCUCCAUUCAGAGACCCUCCAGCAUAGCAAAGCUGCUUGGAACACUCUGCACCACACAGCACUUGGCCCCAUUUUAUAGCUGCGAACCAUCUUCAGCCACCACAGGAUGCCUCCCUUUAUUCUCUGCAGUGAUAAACGGGACUAUCUUCCUGGUUCCUUGACUGGAUAUGUAGAGGCUACAAGACGUGUCCCUUGCUCUCAGGAGUUCACCGUGUCAUGGGACCAUGACGAUGUUCAAGAUUCUCAAUAAGCCUAGGAUAUCCUUCUGCAAAAGUGCAUUUCUCUAGUGGCCUGGAGAACAAGAGCCCAGAGUGUAAUAGAUGCUUGACAAAUUAUCCAGGGGACUGUGUGUGGAGUCAUAGAGAAAGGGCUCAGAUCUGAGAAUUACGACCAGCCCUGCAGCUCCUCCUCUGCUAAAAAACUAGCUUCUUGACUUCAGAUAAGUCAUUCUUCUUGAAUCUUAGUUUGCCCAUCUGUCAAAAAAGGGGGUUAGAGUAAAUGAUCUUUGGAGAUCUUUGAGAUCUAGGACUGGGAUUUGAAAGGUUUGAAAACCCCAGUAAAAACUCUGUCCUAAAAUCCUGUUAAAUCCCCAAAGGUGUCUUUCACAGGACAGGCAUCCUAGAGGGUUUGAGAGGAGGGAGCAGCUGCAUGUCUCCUGCGUGCCAUCGGCCCUUCUCUUUGUCAAGCCAUCCCUUCCCCAGUACUCCUCAGAUCCCAGCUCCUCAGGGGUUCAGGCUGAUGGGAAACUUGGCUGGACAGGUUGUCAUAGGGCCUCCCAGCAGUGGCAAAAUGGAAAAUCUGUGUGUUACCCUUGCCUCUUCCAGUGUCUGCCAGCAUCAGUGCCUGUGUGGGUUGGGUAGAGCUUCCUCAUGCCUGGGGCCAAGUGGCACUGCAACUGUGAAUUCAGGCAGAUUAAGGCAGAUGGAGAAGAGGAAAGGUACUCUUUUCAUUAUAUACAUCCUGAAAGAGAACUUGCUAUAUAUGCAAGGAGGAAGUUGCUGUCUGGGGCUCCUCAUGAGGUGUUUUCCUAAGGCAGACCUUCUCUUGGGACUGCUCCCUCCGUCCGUGUUGCCAGCACAUCAGUUCUAGCCUGGCUUUUUUUCUCAGCAGGAUGAUUAUGAAGCCUCCAAAAAACAAAAGAAAGUUCCCAUUGUGGCUCAGCAGGCUAAGGGCCCGAAAUAGGCUCUGUGACAGUGUGGGUUUGAUCCCUGGCCUCGCUCAGUGGGUUCAGGAUCCGGCACUGGUUUCGAGCUGUGGCGUUAAGUCACAUAUGCAGCUCUGAUCUGGUGUUGCUGUGGCUGCGGUGUAGGCCAGCAGCUGCAGCUUGGAUUCCACCCCUAGCCUGGAAACUUCCUUAUGCUGCCGGUGUGGC